CAACUCUCAUCCUACACCGUUGGAUCGAGAAAUUGACGUCCGAGAUUCGUCCAGGUCAUCAUAACUCCCAGUAAAUUUUAACUCAUGAGUGAAUCUGCGAGUUAAAUUUUAACUUAUGGUGACGUGAACGAAUCUUGGAUGUCCAUUUCUCGAUCCAACGAUGUAGGAUGAGAGUUG
rnacentral:pre_miRNA from 2 species